rnacentral:lncRNA from 1 species
UCCAAUCGAUACACUAAUUUACCUCAACUCCAAGUGCACAGUGACAUUUUCUAACUCUUUCCCCUCGACAAGAAAUUAAAAAAUUUCCUUUAAUCUACCAUCGUUUUGAAAUAUUUUCAAAGUUCAUUUCUUUCUUAAAACCCACGUUUCCUUGGGCCCUCAAAUUUGUAACAAAAAGUUUCUUGGAUCAUGUGAUUUUUCUAUUUAAUAUUAGUGAUUAUGAUUAUGUGAAUAUUGAAUAUUGGUAAUAUUUGUGAUGGAUUCUUAAAAUCUUGAUUUUUGUCAAUUAGUCAAACAAUUAGUGAUGAUUUUUUGGUGUUCU